rnacentral:lncRNA from 1 species
AUGUUGACAAUCAAACCAGUUUGGCAAUGUAGAUGGUCACAAAUUCACUAGAUGACUAUGUGACCAUCAGGUGAAUCUAAGACCAUGUUGACAAUCAGGCCAGUUUAGCUGUCUAGACAGUCACAAAUUUACCAGGUAACUAUGCAACCAUCUUUCUGCUACUGUGGAGCAGAUAUGAUCAAGGAAAAUACCCCUUUGGUUUCAAUGCUGAGUGCUCAAACCAUUUUCAAGUUGGUAUUGAGGUGCUUACCUAGAGGGAAAGGUUCCACAUGCCUGUAAAAUUAUCCCUUAUUUACAGUUGACAGUCUCCUUUAGGGUAGCACCGUGACCUCUAUUUUCCCAGGAACAUAUAGGCCCUCCCUAACAGAACAUCAGCUAAAGCUGCCAUGGUCUAGUCUGAACUAACUAGUAUUCCCAGCUCAGCAACAGGCUGAAAACAAAGCAGCCCAGGCCUCCAAGGGGUAUUUGCAUGUCAUACAAAGGAAUUGUUGUAAGGGAGCACAACAGAGGGUGGAGGUGAAAGCUUCGGGGCAGACUGCCUGUUGAAACCUCUGGGCACAAAGACACAUCAUUCAGGCCAGAGUAGUGUGUCAGAAGCCACCACCAUCUGGCAGGUGUGAGGUUUCUGACCCUCAGAAAUGUUGUAAAGUAGCCAAAACAAACAAAAGAGAAACCCAUAUUGUGAAGCUGUCAACAUCCUGUCCAGCGCCAUAAUUUGGCUGUCUGGUCUGGGGAGUACAAUGAAGGCUCUCUCAUUGCCUUCUCCCACAGCCAUCAGGCCUACACACCCUUCCUGGCUUCCUCAUUCCACAAACUAAUCUUGGGCUUCCACAAGAGAGGGGACUUUGGAGACAAGCUGGAGGUGAUGAAGGUGUGGCUUGGAUCUGGAGAAUGGGGGCAAAAAUGGGCUUUGUUCAGCAAUUUUCAAAUCCUAAAAGCAGCAAGUGAAAAUGGGGACAGGAAGAAGAGGAAGGCUGCCUUCAUAACUUAAUGGAAGAAAUAAGGAUUUUCCAUUUUGAGUUUCCCCGCCUCUAAAAGAGCUAAAACACCCCCCACUCCAGUUUUCCUCUCCUCCUCCCCCCUAAAAUAAGGCCCCAGGCAGGGUCCCUUUCCUAUUAAUCAUUACUUCUCUGACCACAUCCCCAUUGGUUUCUAUGGAAAUCAUCUGCUUGUACAUCUAAUCAAACAAG